GAAGUGCGAUAAGCAAUGCGAAUUGCAGAACCGUGAGUCAUCAGAUUUUUGAACGCAACUGGCGCCGGUUGGCUCUCCAACCGGCAUGCUUGUUUCAGUGUCUCUUUAUCUCAUCACCCAUAUCAUAAUGCGAGAGAUACCCUUCUCUUGCUAAGCUCGAAAGCACUCUGCGCUCUGCGAGCGGCUUCGACUUGUUCGAGGGUCGCACUCAAUGCAGCCGUCACAUUGCUCACAAUGUGAACUCAUUGAGAGCUGAGGCGGUGUAGCGUAAGCUACCAGUGCUUAGUCACACAAACUUUACUUGCAUCUGAAAUCAAGCAGGAUCACCCGCUGAACUUAAGC
rnacentral:misc_RNA from 1 species